rnacentral:lncRNA from 1 species
CCCGCCCGAUUCGGCUGCUCCUCUCCAUGCCCGACCUCGCUGGCCUGCUCAUCUGGACCACAGUGAGCCCUCUACCGAUUCCCUCGCUUUCCCCUUUCGAUCUGUGCCGUUUACCGCUGCUCCCGUACUCGUCCGUGGUCGCCAUGGCUGCAGCUCCGCCCGGUCGCGUCCGCGUCCCGCGCGCCCUGCCUCGCCUAUGGCCGUAGCCUGGCCGCGAGCGCUGCUCCCCGGCCGCGCCCAGGCGCUUCCCCGCAGCCUCCCGCGGUCCUGCCGCUACUGCUACUGCUCUAUGCUGCCACCUACUGAUGCUUGCUGCUCGUGCGUGUGCUACUUACGAGGUUACGACUGCUGCUGCUCCUAGUUGGUUGCUGAUGUUCCUUAGCCACCGCUACUGUCGCCGUUGCUGCGCUGCUUGUGCCGCUGCUAACUGCAGCUGCUGCUCCUAAGCUGUUGUUGCUCCUGGCCUCCACCCGUGUGAGCCCUCCUGGCCAUGGCUGCCAUGCGCCCAUGCAUGUGCGUGCCCAGCCAUGGGCACCGUUGUGCCUCUGGCCGGCCUGUUUAGAUUAGGAUAGGGAUUAGUUUAAUGCUAAUUAGCAGAAUGGCCUAAUGACAGUGGGACCCAACAGCUAAAGUAACUUUUAAUCUAACUCUAGUCAAUGACAUGCGGGACCCGCCUACACUAUUCACUCUUUGACCAGUCCAAUGUUGACUUGGUCAACUCAGUCAAUGGCCCACCUGUCAGCCUCACACAGCCACUGGCUGGGUACACUUCUGGGUGUAUCUAGCCUUUUAGUCAUUUUUUCCGAAUUAAUAAUAAUCCAGAAAUUUAGAAAAUGUUUUAAAACUUUGAAAAUUCAUAGUAAAUAAACUGUAACUCGGAUGAAAAUACUUUGUACAUGAAAGUUGCCCAGAACGACGGGACGAAUCCAAAUACGGGGUCCGUUCAUCUGCCACAUACUCCUAGCAUAACGAACCUGCAACUUCCCCCCUCCGGUUCGUCUGUCCGAAAAUUCCUAACACCGGGAAAACAUUUUUGGAUGUUUUCCCCCUUCACCUGUAUUGAGUAGUGCCACGUUAGAACACGUCGAGCGCUGCGUUUUGCCAUGUUAUACCUUGUGAUGCCUUGUUUGCUCUGUAUUUACUAUUUCUUCCCCCUCUUCUUCUCUUCGGUAGACCCCGAGACUGUUGCUGAUGCCGCUGUGAUCGACUACGUCGAUGACGAGCCCUCCUUGCCAGAGCAACCAGGCAAGCCCCCCUUUGAUCAUCCCGAUAUCGCCCAUUCCAUUCUCUCAUGCUUGCACUAGAUUUUGCUACUGUAAUUGAUUGUUCCUAUUCUGAUGCAUAGCCUGCUUUUGUAACCUGCUUAUUGUUACCUACCUGCUUAUCCUAAACUGCUUAGUAUAGGUUGCUUAAUGAUCCAUCAGUGACCCCCACCUUGUCCUUGUUGCCUCUGCUUCAUCAUCGAAGACCCGAUCAACGGGAUCGAAGACCAGGCCCCAGCACCACACAUCACUUUCCCCUUAGUUGCUCGACUCUACUGGGUUACUAUCGAGUGCCAAGGGUGAGGCCUCAUCAGCACUUCUGAUGUUAACCUGUAGUGUAGCUAUUCGGUCGUGGUCAUCAAGGGUGAUUUCCUCCUUAACCACUUCCGAUACGGCUCUGUCGUGCAACCCCUCAAGUGUGAACCUUGAGGGUGGUUUCCCCUUACGUUCACCUUGAUGAUUACAUCGAGUGGAAUUCACCGGGGGUGAUUCCUCGGGUUUUCCCCUUGAUGUUUGAACACACAGAUACUUGCACUUUACAACUGUUACUUGGAAAGGCGGGUCGACCCUGAGGGGUACCCGCGAGUGAUGUGGAGACGGGUUGACCUGGAGGGUGCCCGCAAGAUAAUUACGAGGCAUGGCCGGGCAUUCCUAGCCCUUGCCGCAAGUCCUCGAGACGGGCCAACGGGGUCACAUCUUUCGUGAGUCUCUGCUUGUUACCGCGUUCUCCUAAUCCACUACGAUUUGGAUAUUUGAUCCGAGGGGCCUCUGGCCUGAUAGCACUAACCAUCACGUGGGCAUAGUAUGGGCAUUCUGCGUCGUAUGCAUCAGCCGAAGCUUAAUAGACGUCAGCGACUGAGCGGCGCGUGCCGGGUUGGACUGGUAAGCACCUGCCUUUUUUAAGGAGGUAGCUAGGUCUGCUCACCGGCCGCCCUCGCAACGUGCAGGAGUUCCCGGGGCGAUGGCCCAUGACCCCUGGGGGCAUAGGUUUAGUCUGGCAUGCUGGCCUCUCUAUUAAGCCUAGGUCGGGUUGCGGCGUAUUGUUUGGCCGAGGCCGGGCAUGACCCAGGAAAGUGUGUCCGGCCGGAGUUAAUCGAGCGUGGUGGGUAAGUUGGUGCACCCCUGCAGGGAAGAAAACAUCUAUCGAUAGCCUGUCCUACGGUAACGGACACUUGGAGUUGUAUCCCGAUCGAUACAACUAGUACUGGAUACUUGAGAUGAGACUUGGAUAUGAGGUGAUAAGUGGAUAGUAUGGCUCUGGGAUUGCUUUCUCGCAGGGAGUCGAGAAAGGAUCUCUGGCCGAGGUUGAUAACACUUCUACUACUUUACUUUAUGCUACUCUACUCCCUCCUGUUGCUGCAAGAUGGUGGUUUCCAGAAGAUGCUAGUCUUCGAUAGGCUAAACUUUCCCCUUCUCUUCUGGCAUUCUGCAGUCCAGUCCACAGAUAUAACCCCUUUUCAUUGAUACCGAUCCAUAUGUAGUGUAGAUCCUUGCUUGCGAGUACUUUGGAUGAGUACUCACGGUUGCUUUGCUUCCCCCCUUUUCCCCCUUUCUUCUUCUUUCCGGUUGAUGCAACCAGAUGGCGGAGCCCCGGAGCCAGUUGCCACCGUCGAUGCCUACUACUACGUGGGGACCGCCAACGACCAGGAGUAGUUAGGAGGCUCCUAGGUAGGAGGCCUUGCCUUUUCGAUCAAUGUUGCUUUUGUGCUGGCCUUCUUAAGGCAUACUUGUCUAACUCAUGUCUGUACUCAGAUAUUGUUGCUUCCGCUGACUCUUGUGUAUUCGAGCCCUCGAGGCCCCUGGCUUGUAAUAUAAAGCUUGUAUUAUUUUAAUUUGUGUCUAGAGUUGCGUUGUGAUAUCUUCCCAUGAGUCUUGGAUCUUGAUCGUACACAUUUGCGUGUAUGAUUAGUGUACGAUUGAAUCGAGGGCGUCACACAAGGCAUGAAAAUGCACUAUAAUUUGCUUGUCAUCAAUGCCUUCAAAUCUCUAUGUCUCUCUCAACAUAGCAGAUCAUCAUUAGACACUAAAUCCUUCAAUGGGAGCUUGCAAAAUGCUUGCAUUAGAUGCCUCAUUAGACACUAUAUGUUCAUCACCAAGAGCGUGUAAAAUGUUUGCAUAGAAUCCUUCAUUACCAGUUUGUUCAUUAUACACUUCAGGCUCAAGAACAACAUGAGCUUGGAUGUUUGCACCGGAAACUUUAUUAGAUUCAUCAGAUUCAGUCAGUUCAGUAUUGAUUGGGGGAGUUGUAAAAUAAGUAGAAAUUGGUUUCAUUUUCUCAUAGAUUCCCUACAUCCAAGCAGUUUUACAACACCGUCAGGUUUAACUAUUGGCCAUAAAUUGAAGAGUUGAAUUAGAUAUAAUCAGGGAUGUGAUGUACCUGCUCGUUGCGCAUGCUACUCUUGCAAGCUGCGACUGUCCGUUUGCGCAAGCUCGAUGCCAUGCCCGUGCUGCCGCCGCUGCCUUCCACGCAGGCUACACACGGGGUUGGAUCUUUAUCUUCUUGUCCUUCCGUUCGCUUGAAGCCCGACGACCGCCCUCGAACGAGGGCGUGAGGAAGUGCUGUGUCGGUCUGUCCGCUCAGCGGCUAUGUUAGGAGCGAACCAGACUGGAGGCUGGAGCGGAUGAAUUGGGAUUUUUCCUGCCGUCGAUCGAUAUGGGAGGCACUCGUUUGGGCCGCGAGCUUGCUAUAGGGCAUGCCCUGCACUUAUGUUAUUGGCCUAUCCAAAUUGAAACAUUUUUCUUCAUUUUUUACAUUGCCUGCUCGUGCGUUGGGACGAACAAAACUAGCCCGGGCCAACCUGGACGACUCAAACUAGGUGCACACAUUCGAGCCACCCGAGGCGGCCGCCCAUACCAGCCCCUAUGGUGGCGCGUCGCCCCUUUUUGCGUGUAUGAUAGGGGUAGUGAAAAUAUUCCAGUGGCGCUUUUGAUUUACCCACAGAAUGGUUGAAUUGCUUGUUUCUAUGAACUGAGUUCGCCAAUAAUGUGAAGGAUGCCAGUCUUUUCAUCCUAUUGUAGAUUGCUUAGAUCUUGAUAUGCCAAAAGUAAUUGCAUGAACUAUACAGUAAAAGCCAGUGUGAAGUGUGUGGCUACAACUAGUCUGACUAUACGUCCUCAUAUAACAUAUCAAGGCCGCACCAUCUUACCAGAUUAACCAUUCGACUUACCAAUGCAGUGUGGGAAGAAAGAAGUAUUGGGACUACGUAUCCAAGCAAUUGAUGCUAUGGACUCCUUCGUACAACCUUGUAAGCGAAAAAGAAGUUGCAGUGUGCCUGUACAAAGAACUAGCGUAAGUUCAGUGACCUGCUUCUCAGAAUUUUAGUUAGCCACUUAUUGCAAAAUUGUUCAAUUACGUUGCUUGGCUUAAUUUAGUUUGCUACUGAUUACAUAAAGCCACAACCUGUUAAUCCUAUUAUAGACUGCGCCUAUCUAUGUGUUUGAUACUUACUGUUAAGAAUUACCUGUUUGCCUGAAC